rnacentral:rRNA from 1 species
AAAUUGAAGAGUUUGAUCAUGGCUCAGAUUGAACGCUGGCGGCAGGCCUAACACAUGCAAGUCGAGCGGUAACACAGGGAGCUUGCUCCUGGGUGACGAGCGGCGGACGGGUGAGUAAUGUCUGGGAAACUGCCUGAUGGAGGGGGAUAACUACUGGAAACGGUAGCUAAUACCGCAUAACGUCGCAAGACCAAAGAGGGGGACCUUCAGGCCUCUUGCCAUCAGAUGU